rnacentral:rRNA from 1 species
CCCUAUGGGGCGCAGCAGAGGAGGCGUUGUUGCUCGAGGUACCAUUUCAGAAUGCCCUGGUGGUCGGGAUGUUGGAGGAAUUUCUUAAGGCCACCGGAUAGCGUGGUUCCUGAACCGGCAAAAUCAUCCACCAGCACGACGAGGGGAUCCUGCUCUUUAUGGGUCUUCAUCCAGUCGUAGAUGGAGGCUGCGGGGCCGGUUUUACCUGGCCUUAGGCUCUUCGCCAGCUCGCGGGCGAGAGUGGCACCGCUCUUGAGGUCGGACUCAGAAUCCACGUAGGAGACGCACAGAUUGUCGAUGCGACCGAGGACGAUUUUCCAGGGGGCGCCCCCCAUGGAGUUGCGGGCUGCAUGGAUGGCCUGCUCCAUCACGGUGAGGAAUUGGCGGGGGAGC